CUGAAUUUUGCCUCGGGUUUCGUGUCGUGUGUACUCUCUUGAUUUCUCUGUGGCCAUUGAACCUCGCCCCGGAGGGAGAUCUAUGUUACGGAUGAACCGGAAUCAGGAAGAUAGCAUCCAGCCGGAGAGCAACAAAGAUGUGAUGGUCCACGCAAGAGCACAAUCUGUCACCAAGAGCGUUCAACACCGGCCUUCUCCACAUGAAAAUGAUGUAGACGGUGCAGCUGAUGCUCCGCCCCGCCGCGCGGCGGGGGCAAGGUCCCGAUCGCCGCCUUUGCCGUCGGCGCAGCAGCGCGGGUGCACCAGAGUCGAAAGUACAUCGUGCACGUACACCCUUCGGGAAGAGAUUGGGCGAGGUGAGUACGGUCGUGUGUUCCUAGCAGAUGCGACACCCCAUCAACUUCAACCGCAGCUUCCCCUGCAACACUCUCAGUCGGCAUCCUUCUUGCCGUCCCCUACAAGCGGGGUGGUUGUGGGGCUGGGGUCGAAAGGGCGCAGCGAACCGCGAAACGCCGGCGGUCGGCCUAGUCGCAUGGUUCUGAAGCGCAUGGACAACACCAGUGUCGAGGACGGGUUGCAGGCCGCCACGCUACGAGAAAUCAUGGUGCUGGACGAGGUGAGCGCCGGAACUUCCAACCGGGAUCGUGUGGAGCGGGACGCGUUUCGCCGUGGCCGGGCCGUGUUUCGGCCAGCCACGGCGGCGCCAUCCAACACGCACGUGCAGGAGGGUUUUCCUUCCUCGUUUGUGGACCACAACCGCUACUGCUCCGGCGGCGCCGCAGAGGAUGAGUGGGAUGACGCGGCUUUAUCCUCGUCCGGGCCGCUGCGCAUAGGCGCCUUGGACGCGCUGUCGGCUCAGCAGAGACGGCGCAUCAGCCGCGGGCGGCAGCAUCUCAUUGGGAUUCGGGACGCAAUACUGCGGCCGCGCGAGCAGCUCGCCUACGUGGUGAUGGAUUACUGCGAAGGCGGUGACCUGUGGCACUUCAUGCGGGAUUUGAAAGUCUCCGUGCGAUCCUCUUCGGGAAAGUUCGGUGAUAUAAUGUCGACGCGGGUGUUUCGGCGCUGGUCGGUCGAGCUGAUCUUGGCGCUGGGCUUUCUGCACUCGCACAACAUCGCCCAUCGCGACCUGAAGCCGCAGAAUUUGAUGCUCGCCAAGCGCACAGAUGCGAUACUCUCUUCAUCCUUUGCCGUUGACAGCGCCAACGGCAGCGAGUUGUGUGAUAUCGAGGGUGCGCCGGCCGGGGAGCUGUACACGUUGAAGGUUGGCGACUUUGGCCUCUCGCGGCUGGAGGGGAUCCCGUACAAAAAGUACGUGCACGAGGCAGUCACGCUUUGGUACCGCAGCCCAGAUGUACUUCUCGGAAACACAAACUACACCUACUCCGCAGACGCCUGGUCGCUGGGGUGCAUUCUAGUAGAAAUGGCCUCGGGCACUGUCCUCUUCAAGGGCAAGGACGAGGCAGACGAGCUGCGGCACAUUUUCACGCGCGGCUGCCGCCCGUCCCCCUCAAUCUUUCCACGAAUGCGGGACUACCAUUACUGCGAGCGAUACGCGGAGGUUCUGAACCGGUAUCAGGAGGCGGACACUGAGAACAUGACCUCGGAGGAGCUCAUGCAGAUGCAGCUGGAGCGCAUCAGCCGCCACCUGCGCGCGUUUCUGCGCGACCGUCACGCCCUCGAGCUGCUUGGCGAUGCAGGGGUUGACCUGGUUGCCCGGCUGCUGAUCCUCGAUCCGGAGCGCCGCCUUACCGUUCUGGAGGCGAUGAACCACCGCUUCUUCACGAACGCGUAUGCUGAGGUCUACGGCGCGGAUGGAUAGUCCCGGGUGGCUGCGCUUCAGGGGCUCACCGCUCCUUCCUCGCUCUUCUUCCUUACGUCCCUUUCCCACCCCCUCAGGUACUCGACCGCUCCAGCGAUGUGGCCCGGCAGGAGUCCUUCGACUCGGCACCGCUGCCACUACCUGCACAGCCUUCACGCGAUGCCAGCUGCAAUGAACCCACGCGGGCGCACCAUACGGAAGGAGGAGCGAAGUAACGCCCCCCCCCCCCCACACACCCGCCCCGCACCGCCCACACACACGAAAAAAAAAUGGAGAGACUUCGGCAGUGGAGGAGGUGCAAGCAGAAGACCUGAAAAGGCGGAGGGAGGAAUGCAAGGACAACAGGAGAGCACAGCGAUGCAGCGAGAGAAGGGCCGCCGCCGCAGCAUGGCGAGCAGGCGACGGGGGAGGAAGGGAUGCCCGACCCACAGAUGCGAAAGGCGGAAAGCAACGAGGCUACAAUGCUAAGCAGGGCUAGAGCAUCGAUACCGGUAUCGACGGAGAGAUGAAAGGUGAAGGCAGCCAACAGCAAAGCGGGCACUCGAUGCUCGAAGGGGUCUAUUGGAGGGGGGGCGUGUCCAUGUGCCAUUUGGAGAGGCGCAUGCGUGAGCUACUGGGCGAUGAGGCAGUGAAGGAGAAAGGACGUUGUGCUUAAUGGUCUAAUCCCAGUGGCGUCUCUCCUGCUGAUUGUUGCGCCACGAUUGUUCCUCUUGGACUGUCUUCCUCCCUUCUACUUCCCUCUGUCUUUCUAUGUCCCUUUUUCUUGAAAAAAAAAAGCAUCAACAGGAAGAGAGGGUGAGCGUUUUUUUUUUCUUGCUAAAGAGCACGGAUGUGAUGGUGUGUGUGUGUGCCUGUGGGAUGGAGCCAUCGAAGUAAAAUGUGUUCCACAUUCCGUGUCAUCGAGUGCCUCUUCUUCCUUCUUUCCCUUUUACGUAUCCCUUUCCGUUUUUUUGUGUGUGUGAGCGUGUUCGUGUUGGAGCGCUUUUCUCUCCGUCUUUGCUCAUGUGUUUAGCAGCGGAAGGAGGGAGGUAGAGAGGGAAGGGGGAGCGCGUGUGUGCGCAGAUGUCUGCCGGCGCUUGUGUCUGUGUGCCCUGCGGCUAUGGGGGCGAUCAUGGUGUAUCUGAUCACGCUUUGUUUUUAUCAUUCUUGUUGCUCUGCAGAGGUCACUGUUCACGUUUUGACCCCUCCUUCCUUCCCUCCCUCACCUCGUUCUCUGUUUCCCGUUUUGUUUUGAUUGUUCUUUGACGUGGUUGCGCCCCUUCCGCUGCAUGCCUUUGCGCGUGUGUAUAUCCGUGCGUGUGGAGGUGAAAAGGCUGCUGAACGGUUGGGUAGGGGGUUUGGGGAGAAUGUACUACAGCCGAUCUGCUUGAGGCGUUGCCAACCUCUUCCUUCACUAUCCACCUCAACUCUCGCCUUUUUGUUUCUACACGUGGGUGACAUUUUUGUGCUCGCCCCUUUUCCUUUCUUUUUCGAGGGGGAGGUAUGUUCUCUUGCUGACAGCGCGUCGCUGCCCUCUGCCACCCAUCACAUCUCUUUUAUAUCUACCUCCCUUAUCAUCAUUGCCAAACAUCAUUUUCACCGUAGUUUUCUUCUGAAUGUCGCGUUUACGUCUCCGUGUGCGCGCUUCCUUCUCUCCCCUCCCCUCCUCUUUGGUCUUCUGUGUCAUCCCACACGUUUGGAUUUCCGCGCGGUCGUUGCUGUUGGUGGUAUUUUAUUUUGCCGUUUCCUUUCUCUGUACCUUCUCUCAGUGUUUUCAUCUCUCCCAGCCCGUUCCUCUCGUCUCCUUUCACAGACAUAUGGGUGAGUAUGCGUGCUUUCUCCCGUUCUCCCUCCUGGCUGCGUCUUCCCUCUUUACCGGAAGUAAUUGUAUCCUUCCGUCUCACGGGGAAAGGGGGAAGCGCAGCGACUGAGUUUGAGGCGUUCGUUCACGCCCGCCACCCCCACCUCUCAGCCAGCUCCUUCCUCCUUCUCUCAUCGGUGAUCAUCGAGCAUACGAUCGCGCUCACAGACACUGGAACACACACACACACAUACGCCAUCGAUUCCCAUAUCAUCGCCCCUCUCUUUUUCUUUCUCUUCCCCCCACCCACCCACCCUCUUCGCCCGUCUUCUCGAUCUCUUCUCUCUGCUGGACUAUUUUUGUGUUCUCAUCCCUGUAUUCCCUCUCUGUUUCUCACCACCUCCUCUCUCUCCUCUCCGCCUCUCAGAACCCUUUCGUUGGGCAACCGGAUCUACCACUCUUUCCCUUGCCGCCCUUCCUUUCUCGCCUUCCUGCGACGGCUGUUGUGAGGCGCAUUGAUGUCCAAUCUUUCCUCUUGUUUGUUGCUUUACGCUUGCGUUUUGUCAUCGAUUUACACAUUCCCUUUUCUUUUUCUGUCUUUUCGCUUUUCAUUCCGAUGUGCCAAGUGGACGGGGUUGGCUUCUUCCCUGUGUUUCUCAUCACGUCUCCGUCUCGCCUCAUCCCUCCACCGGCUGACCUGCCUCCUAACAACUGUCGGAGCGCCUCCGUAUUGUCCUUCCUCCCCUUCCUUGCGUUGUACCUGUUCUCUUUUCUGCCUGUUUCUCUGGGGAAGAGGGUUCACCUCCUUGUUCGGUAGGCCCUCUAAUCCAUUUGUGUUCUUCCUUUGGUGGCAGGGGAACACUUCCGCGCGUGCGCUGUCAUGGAUCCAGGUACCCCCCUCCCACUCUCUGUGGAGAGGGAGGAUAUCAGACCGCUUCACCACUAUGCAUGUCGGCGGUCAGGCUGUGGACAUUGUUGCGCUGGAGAGGCCAGCGACGGUGCGCACGCUUCUGCCAUCCACGUGAUAGGCGACGUGUCCGCGUGACUCGAACGUAUCCCACACGGCCCUCGCACUGCCUGCUGGUGUGGGGAGCCUGAGUGCCACCCCGAAGGAUGCCCCGGACAGGGACCGGCACAAUGGGUGGCGCGGCUGCGAGGCGACCGGCUAAGCGGCGGUGAUGGGUGGAGCCUGGCGCAGGGGGCCGUGCUCCGAUGACGGAGUCGGCGCACUCUCUAGCGCGUGUGUCCACGGCUGCUUCGCACCGCGCGGUGGGGUCUGUGGCAGGCCGGGGGCGGGUGGAUGGCGUUUCAUUCUUGUCGUAUGGCAAACAUGGUGGACAUGUUGUAAAAGCUACCCCCUACUGAUGCUUCUCCCGCUCAGGCCUCGCACACCAUAGACUUGGUUACGCUUGUGUGUUGGCCUCUGUUGGUAUGCAUUUGUUUCGAGCAUCGAUAUCCUCUCCCAGAAGGAACGGCAAACCAACGCAAUAAUGAUAAACACACACAAACAUACAGACACACGUGAAAUAAAGGGAAGGCGUAGCGGAUGUGAACGAGGCGUCCACGGCAGAGGCCGCCAGCCGCAGGUGUUGGUUUAUUUUUCCCCCGUGCGUUUUCGCGGCGCACCAGUGCUUUAUGUGAAAUGGAAGGCUCGCAGCGGUGAUGCGCGCUUUAACGGAUUUGUGCUUGAGCGCUUUUCUCAGCUUUUUCUUCUUCGACUCAUCGUCUGCUCUCAGCCUCUUCGCGCUUUCUCCGUAUGAGGAAGGGGGCUAAUCGUUGGCGCGGCGGUGGCUGUGGUGCAACGGGCCGCCGCAACAUCAACGGGUGAUCCCCCGCACAACUGUGAGAAUCAUCUUUGUUUAGUUGGGCUCAUUUUCUUUGUUGUGCUUGCCGCUGUCAUCUACGUCGUACGCUUUAUUUCAUGGCUCGAUGCUUGCACCAUCAAGGGAGAUGGGACGAUAUCACAGAUGAUGUAGACACAGCCAGGCAAGAGCACACGCACGUAUACCAGCAGCCCCCUCCCUCAAUACACGCGCACAAGCGAACAGAAGAAUAAGAAUCCUACACCUGCUCUUUGGAGGUCUUUCUGUUGAUGCCGUUCUUUUUUUUUUCGCGUGACUGCGUAUGUGUCAGCAUCUUCGUCUCCACAUGUCGUUACACGCUCCAGCUGCCUCUUUUCUCCGUUGUUUCCUUGUCUCGGGCACAAAUAAGUGCCAAGCGCUGCAUGUGCGUAUUUAUGUCUGUUUAAGGUUUUGCCUUUCUCUUUUUUCUUUGUUUGCGUCUUGUGUGAGUCCGUGUGUAUGUGUGUGCCGCCGGAUAUUGCAGCACUGCUGCCUCGUCCUUCGAGUAUGCCCCCUUCGUCCCCCCUCCCCUUUUUACCCUGCCUCACAUGAUUGAGGAGAAUGGCGGCGUGUUGGUGAUGCUGGACGACACACACUUUUUUUUUGUUCUUUAAUGUUAUUGCUAUUAUUAUUUCACCUCUGUUGGCUCUCGGUUUCUCUCUCAUCCCUUUCUCGGGAGGCACUUGCGUGCCAUUUCCGACUUUGCCGCUGCACACCGUAUAAUCGCUUUUGUUUUCCCUGCUUCAGUCCUUUGUUCGGCCUUCGUCGGUCUCGACGCCCUCCCUGGCGCGCCGAGACCUCCUCCUUCCCUCUCCUUUUUUUUUUCCUUCUUUGGCCACCAAUCGGAAUGCGUCAAGGGAUUUUCACUCUGUGCAUAUGUGCGCCUGUCUUGCGUGUGUGUGUGUGUGUGUCGUGCAAAGUCAGUUACGUUUUCGUCAUUUUCGUUGGCCUCGAGUGUGUGCCGGGGGCCUUGGCAAAGAGCCGAGAAAGCGGGGAAAAGAAAGCGCUACUCAGAGCGGGACGGGCGGAAGUACGACUGAGCAGUGAGUAAGGAGCAGGGUAAGAGAGAGGGUAGAGGGAGGGUGGGAAGAUGAAUGAGGCAUGCAACUGGAAGAGAGAGACAGAACAAAUUUAAGGCAGUGAUGCCAGCUUGUUGCACACGCAUGUUGUGGUCUCAAGGGGAAGAACAGAGCGAGAGGCGGGGAAAGGGUGACCACAGGCUUGCUGGUUCUCUCGUCCCUACAGUUCAACGAAAAAUGUUUUUUCCCUUUUUUUCGCUGUUCUGUGGAGUCCGCAUAGCCGUGGUUGAGGAAUCAUGAGCAUGAAUGUGCGUGUGUCUUGACUGUCCAGUAGUCCGUGUUCCCAAUGCGGGUAGCACGCUUUCCUCCUUUACUCUUUCCCGUCCGACACUCAUCACAGCGUCCGCCCCUUUGCCGGCCUACUGAGACCUUUCUUUCGCCUUCGCGGCAGUCUUUCGACCCCUCCCCCUCUCCGUCUUAUCUCCUCCACUUUCCCAUCGCCCUCCCUUCAUCUCUCGGCGCGUGCGACUCUCCUGCUACCUGCUGUGUAUGUGCAUUGAUCAGCGGCCCCCCUUCUCCUCUUCCUGCUUUGCUGCUUUUCCUUAUCUUGUGCUUCCUCUUUUUGUGUUGGCGUGUGGUCUCUCUCUUCGUUCUUCUUUGGUGCGAGUGCACGCUGGUUUUGCGCAGGUCACGGCACUCGCCUCCCCUCUCCCUCUUUUCCCCUCCUUCUCCCCUGCUUCUCUCUCGUUGGAUAUCUUUAUCCUUCCUAAGCUAUUGUUUCUGAACAAGGCGGUAGUACCAGCAGAACGUUGACUCCUUCUCCGCUUGCCUUUUCCCUUCCGUUGCCCCUCCUGCGUCUCUACACACGUCCUUGCUCACUCGCACUCCGGUAUGGACGCUCGGAUCCUCUUCCCUUCUCCAUUUUUUUCUUUUCGUGUGCGUCGGUGUGUGUGUGUGUGUGUCUGUGUUGCUCUUCAUUGCUGAUGCGGAUGUUUGUGUACGCCACCUGUCAUCCGCGUACGCCGUGUAUCGCUUCUCCUCCGGUACCGUGUGCCCCCUUCCCUUAUUCUUCUCGACGACUUUGUGUGCGACGCACUAGAACCCAUGGAGACCGCAGAGCGAAAAAGAGGCUGGGACAACCCCGUCGUUUUGUCUCACACAUUGGCCGACGUGCCCCCGCCUCGUUUUAAUUGGCUCCUCGUUCUCUCCUACCCAUUCAGUGAAAGAGGAAGUGCAGGAUCGAGAGCCGUGCGUGUGCGUGCUCCUGCCUUAGAGGAGAAGGGGAUCUGGUGGCGUCGGGAAAGCCAAGCAGAGAAAAAAUGCAGAAGAGGUAGACACCCAACGACGUGAAUGCCAGCUGCUUCAUCCUGAUCCCGCCCCUACUUCCCUCCCCUUCUGUGUGUGUGUGUGUGUGUAUGUUUCUUCUUUUUCCAUCUUCAUUCUGUUUACUCUGUCUUCUUCUGCCAUGUGGUGCGCAUGCGCGUGUGUGCCGUUGUUCUCCUUUUUUUUUUCGCUCGCUGUUCGCUUGUUCUUUGCGCUCCUAUGUCACCUAACUUGCUCCGCCGUUCUUUUAUUGUUCUCCGCCUCUGACCUCCUUUCCGCUCCUUCUUUGGUGUGGAGUGUACGCUGUUAUGUGAUGUUUGAUGUCUGUUUUGUGUACGCCUGCAGUGCCUGCGUUCUUGUACCUCUUUGACACCUUCUCAGUCACCUACCUAUGUGCGUGUGGCUCACCUUCGUUCUUUCCCUUUCCUUCAUCCCAUGGUUGUUUUGCUCGCUUUUGGGGGGUUUCAGGUUUUCUUCUCUGUGUCUGAUUGUGUUGUCUGCCCCAAUUCCUGCCCACCAUGUUUUUGGGCAACGAAAUGGGGGUAGCUUGUGUCUGCGCUGUCUUGUGCCCUUUUAUUAUUACUAUUGCUGGUAAAACAUGCACCGACGCAUCCGCAUAUGUCGGUGUCGGUGUUGGGUGCUGAGAGCCAUGGCCCUCCGUUCUGCUUGUCUAUCCCUUUUCCUUUACUGCUUCGGUUUCUGUUUCUGCGUUUGAUGGAGCCUGAGUGCGUGUGCGCGUGUGGUGGUUAAGUAAGUGGGCUGUACAAAACAGAAACGUGCGAAGCGGUGGAGAGGUGAGGGCGAGCAAAACCACACCUCUCCCUUCUCCCUUGUUCCCUUGUGCAAGCGCCUCCUUUCGGAGGAGCCUGCACACCCACCCGCGCACUUCUCACGUGCAGCUACUGUCACUUACCUCCCUGCUGAUGCCAGUGGCGAGAAGCAACCGGACAGAGCGGCACGCCCCUCAUUUUACGAGGGCCAUGACAGGCUGCCUAUCCGCUCCUCGUCCAGGGGAGCGCUUUUUGGGCCUGGGUGUAGGUGCUUGUGCAGUGCUCUCCUCCGCAUGAUGCCUGGGGAGUCGUAUCGACGCACACGUCCUUGCACCCCACCCGUCCCCUGGGUGAUCAGCCCACCACCUUACACGUCUCAACGUUUUUUCUCCGUUCUCUUCGAUCUCAUUCUUGUCUGUCUCUCUCCCUCCUUCUCCUCUUUUUCGCACUUGCUGGCGAUUUCUUCAAAUGUGGUGCGCGCCUCGCGCCGCUUGGAUGUGCAACGCACUACGUGCAAUCCCAUCAACAUGCGGAG
rnacentral:misc_RNA from 1 species